rnacentral:rRNA from 1 species
CCUACGGUGGGCUGCAGUGAGGAAUAUUGGUCAAUGGGCGCGAGCCUGAACCAGCCAAGUCGCGUGAGGGAAGACGGCCCUACGGGUUGUAAACCUCUUUUGCCGGGGAGCAACGGGCGCCACGUGUGGCGCCACUGAGAGUACCCGGAGAAAAAGCAUCGGCUAACUCCGUGCCAGCAGCCGCGGUCAUACGGAGGAUUCGAGCGUUAUCCGGCUUUAUUGGGGUUACAGGGUGCGUAGGCGGAGCGUUAAGUCAGUGGUAAAAUUGAGGGGCUCAACCCCUUCCCGCCAUUGAAACUGGCGCUCUUGAGUGGAAGAGAAGUAUGCGGAAUGCGUGGUGUAGCGGGGAAAUGCAUAGAUAUCACGCAGAACCCUGAUUGCGAAGGCAGCAUGCCGGCUUCCUACUGACGCUGAAGCGCGAAAGCGUGGGGAUCGAACAGGAUUAGAUACCCUGGUAGUC